UGGCUCAGUUGGUAGAGCAUGGUGUUUGCAACGCCAGGGUUGUGGGUUCGUUUCCCAU
rfam:Salmo salar isolate Sally breed double haploid chromosome ssa13, whole genome shotgun sequence.